rnacentral:rRNA from 1 species
UACCCGCAGCACAAGUGGUGGUCAUUAUUAUUGGGCCUAAAGCAUCCGUAGCCGGUCCUACAAGUCUUCCGUUAAAUCCACCUGCUUAACAGAUGGGCUGCGGAAGAUACUAUAGGGCUAGGAGGCGGGAGAGGCAAGCGGUACUCAGUGGGUAGGGGUAAAAUCCUCUGAUCCAUUGAAGACCACCAGUGGCGAAGGCGGCUUGCCAGAACGCGCUCGACGGUGAGGGAUGAAAGCUGGGGGAGCAAACCGG